rnacentral:rRNA from 1 species
AACGUAGGAUCCGAGCGUUGUCCGGAAUCACGGGGUGUAAAGGGUGCGUAGGCGGGCUUGCGCGUCAAGGGUUAAAGACCUCGGCUCAACCGAGGGAAUGCCCUUGAUACGGCGGGCCUUGGGUGCGGGGGAGGAUGGUGGAAUUCCUGGUGUAGGGGUGAAAUGCGUAGAGAUCAGGAGGAACACCGAAGGCGACGGCGCGCAUCUUGACCGCCACUGACGCUGAGGCACGAAAGCGUGGGGAGCAAACAGG